rnacentral:tmRNA from 1 species
GGGGGCGUACUGGUUUCGACGGGGGUAUGGAGUUAAAAGUAGCGAGUGGCGGUUUUUCCUUGGGGUCCGCCUUAAUAAACUGGGGAACAUAAAGAUAAACGCAAACGAUAAUUACGCUUUA